CAUAAACCACGUAAAUACAUUGUAUUAUACCAAAUACACAAUAAAACGUUUUUAGCAAUGUAAUACUGUAGGUGCCGUCUAAGUGUUUUUUUCUGUAAACAGAUGCUGGAUUAAAGUGGAGAGAGGCUUCAUCUGGAGUUUUCUGGGACCUGUUUGCUUCAUUCUUGCAAUAAACAUAAUACUCUUCAUCAGUAUCUUCAUCAGUCUGAAUUUAACUCUUAAAAACGUCAACCUUGAUGUUUCACACAUGAGACAAACCAAGAUUACGGUUUUUAAAACUCUGGCCCAGUUUGUGAUUUUUGGUUGUCCCUGGAUUCUGGGUCUCUUCAUUAAUAACAGUAAGAUGAUGGAGAUUCUCUUCCUGAUUUUGAACUCACAGCAAGGAACCUUCAUCUUCCUGGUCUACUGUGUCCUCAAUAAUGAGGUCAGAAAGCAGUAUGUGAAGUGGAUGAGAGCUGUCUUUCUCAGGCUCGAACCAAAUACCUUAUAAGAUGCCCCUCAUCCAAAAAAAAAUCUAAAGCCCAGAUAAUUCAUGUUAACUAAAUUGUAAUGUGUGUGUUUUUUAUAGAGGGCAACCAUACUGUGCAUAUAAUCAAGUAAAUUUGUGUUGUUUUUCAUAUUUUAUUUACACAUUUAUCAUUUUUAUAUCUCUUUUAUAAACUCUUUUAUUAUGUGUCAAACUAUAUGGCUUGGGUCCAUAAUGUCAUUAAUUGUCCAUUAACUUUGCAUGGUAUAGGAACACUGAGAAAGGAACUGUUCAGAUUAUUCAUUAAAUGCUUUGUUCAUUUUUACAAUGAUUAUGUCUCCUGCCUUCUGCUAUAGGCCUAUUCUCUGGGCUGGUAAAUGAGAUUUAGCAACAUUAUUCUGUAUUUUGUCAGUUUUUUAAUUCUUCUAGGAAAGCUAAAUGACUUGUUAUUGCAUUGAGAGCAUCUUGACCACACGCACAGUGUGAAAUGAUGGCACCAUAGAAACAAACUUCAAGAGCCUGUGGGAUAAAAACUGCAGAGAGGAAGGCUGAAUCCGAAACAGAACACUGCCAUACUUUAUAGUAGGCAAAAACCACUAAGUGAACGAAAAGUUUGUCCGAAAACUCAGUAUACGUAAAAUGUUAAGCGAGAAUUACUGUGAUUUUGGACUAUUUAUCGCGUGAUUCAGAAGCACGUGUACUUAAGUAGCGUCCGAAAUCGUUUACUUACCUACAAUAUAGUAGGAGAAACAGUAUGCGAACACAGUAAUAUGUCCGAAUCCUCAGUAUUCAUAAAAUCAGUAUGCAA